GGCUUGAUAGCACAACUGGAUAGUGCAUCUGCAGUAGAUACGCCUUUCCGAUUACACUUUCCGCAGAAGAUCCCUGUUCAACUCAGGGUCAGGCCG